rnacentral:lncRNA from 1 species
ACAGGAAGGGGAGGAGCCCGUGUGGUCUGGGUCCCACAGUCAUGGUUUCCCUGUGGGCCAGCCGGUUCUCUGGCCAGACCUUGAUGCUCCAGGUCAGCCUCUUCCUGGCUAUUCCCUCAACAAGCGUCCAGUCUGUGGACAACCUCAGCACCUCCUGCACCCUGGAAAGGAUCGUGGGGGCGUCUGUCCAGCUGCAGCUGACCUCCUCCUUGUACCCGAACAUCCGAGAGAUAGAGUGGAGUUGGCAUUCUGAGCCUGAAAAAGAAGAGAUCCUGGUGUCCUGGAAACCCAAUGCCACUGGUCCUGACUGGUAUGAGCUGGAGGAAAAAUUCAGGAGUAGCCUCUCCCUGACAGAGAUGGCAGUUUUGAGCAUCAGGAAUCUCACUAUGGAAAUGAGUGGAUGGUAUACAGCAAAGGUCAAAUUCCGCACAGGAAAAUCCCAGAAGGAAGUCUUCAGACUCUGUGUGUAUGGUAAGGUGAGCCCGUCAGGAACUCCAACAAUCUCUUUAUCUCAAGUAUGUGGACUAAACAGAUUUAAAAAAACCCUAUCUUCUUUAGGAGUAUUUGCAACUCUUUUGAUGCCCUAACCCUAAAAGCUAAAUUCUAAAGAUGUCAUCUUAGGAAAAAGUAGCUAAAAUGUCUUAAAAAGUAUAAAAAACACAUGAAAUGGGGGAAGGGCAGGAAGUCAUCCGAAAGGAUAACAAAAAACUAUCUUCAAUUGCAAAUUAUUUCAAAAUUGAUUAUUAAACAUACAAAAUUAUAUCAGAAAGUUUCUUAACCAGUUGUUUCAAAAACUAAUUUAAAAACUCGUACGUGACCCAAAAAGCUGGCAGAAACAAAACAAGAAACCAG